UACGGAAGGUCCUGGCGUUAUCCGGAUUUAUUGGGUUUAAAGGGAGCGCAGGCGGGUUGUUAAGCGUGCCGUGAAAUGUACCGGCUCAACCGGUGAAGUGCGGCGCGAACUGGCGACCUUGAGUAGGUACGACGGAGGCGGAAUUCGUGGUGUAGCGGUGAAAUGCUUAGAUAUCACGAAGAACCCCGAUUGCGAAGGCAGCCUCCGAGUCCCUUACUGACGCUAAAGCUCGAAGGUGCGGGUAUCGAAC
rnacentral:rRNA from 1 species